CUUCUCAUGCAACUAAAAAUUAAACUUCAUGCCAAUUUCGUGGAUAAGAAAUAUAAUUGAAACUGUGUCUGCAUCUGCCUAUGAUUCCAUUAAAUUUUGAAUGUAAUUUUCACCAAUAAGCUCCACUUCUUCUAAGCUGCUCUUGGCUGAGUUCGUUUGCAUGAGUUCCCAACUCACUCUGACCGUUUUUCGCGCGCACGCUUUUCAAACUACUAAAUGGUGUAUUUUUUGCAAAAAAUAUUCUAUACGAAAGUUGCUUUAAAAAUCAUAUUGAUCCAUCUUUCAAAAAAGAAUUAGCUAAUAUUUAACUAAUCAUGCUCUAAUGAAUCGCUCCGUUUUUUGUGCGGGAGGGAUUUGCUCCCAACAAGAAGUAACAAACACAUCCUUAGAUGCAAAUGUCUCCAGCAAUGGCCCUUUUAAUUGUGGUCAAUGAUUUUUUUAUCUCACGCAACUAUUGUGACACUUCGGUUGCUGAAGUUAGUUACAUAAUUUGUCCAGCUCUGAUUUGUAAACUGUCCUUUGGCACCUGUACCACACUCCAUUUUCUUACAGACACGGUCAUUGAUGAUAUCUCUUGGUCUGAAGGAUCAUUCCCAGGUAUUAUUUGAACUUCCCUUCAUAUGACUGUAAUUCUCCGUGUUUUUCUCCUGAAUCUUGCCAAAUCAGCGAGCAUGGUCGACUGUACUGUGCAUAUCAGUGUUUCUGAGGUUAGACCCCAUUAUUUUGCAUUGGAAUCAAUAGUAUUCUCGUGCAUGUAUCUCAAACAAUUUUGUUACUUCUGCAGGCAACAAUGAAAUAUAUUGUUUCCACCAUAAUUGAGAACCGCCUAUAGUAAUAGUUUUGCAUAUCGAGCUGGGGUUGGAAUGGCUGGGCACAUAUCUAUUCACUUCAUCAACAGAGAUGUUGACAUGAUUAGUGCUGAGCAAUUAACACUCUCUUACCAAUCUAGAAUUUUGUAACUAUGAUUUCUUCGGAGUCGAUGUAUCACAAAGUAGUUAUAUAACCAAAGUUAUAGCGAGAAUUGCACUACUAGCUUUGAUGAGUAUUUCAUCUACGAACUUCUGAAUGCUAAUGGUUGUAUUCAUGUUGCUUUGCUAAUUUGUGGCCUAAAAUCGCUCGUUG
rnacentral:lncRNA from 1 species